UGGGAUAAAUUCCCAUGGAUGUGGCGAAAGCUGAACAAAGAG
rnacentral:ncRNA from 1 species